rnacentral:rRNA from 1 species
AUUGAACGCUGGCGGCAGGCUUAACACAUGCAAGUCGAGCGGGGUGAUGGUGCUUGCACUAUCACUUAGCGGCGGACGGGUGAGUAAUGCUUAGGAAUCUGCCUAUUAGUGGGGGACAACAUCUCGAAAGGGAUGCUAAUACCGCAUCCGUCCUACGGGAGAAAGCAGGGGAUCACUUGUGACCUUUCGCUAAUAGAUGAGCCUAAGUCGGAUUAGCUAGUUGGUGGGGUAAAGGCCUACCAAGGCGACGAUCUGUAGCGGGUCUGAGAGGAUGAUCCGCCACACUGGGACUGAGACACGGCCCAGACUCCUACGGGAGGCAGCAGUGGGGAAUAUUGGGCAAUGGGGGGAACCCUGAUCCAGCCAUGCCGCGUGUGUGAAGAAGGCCUUAUGGUUGUAAAGCACUUUAAGCGAGGAGGAGGCUCUUUUGGUUAAUACCCAGAAUGAGUGGACGUUACUCGCAGAAUAAGCACCGGCUAACUCUGUGCCAGCCGCCGCUGUAA